AUCAACCUCUAACUUGCUAACAGCUGUGGGGUGUAAGUGUAGGCACCAUGCAAGGACACAGGGUUCAUUCCUUCAUUCCAUUUAGAAGAAAACAGACUACUCCAUCACUACUCUCUGGGAAACCUCUGGGAAGAGGAGGGCAGGAAGAAGGAAGAAGGGUGAGACUCAUCUUCCCCCAGGAUUCCAAUACAAACUGAAGACCUGCAGCUCUUCAGGAAUCCUCCAGUGGGACUGCACAGCUAGCAAAUUCUCAGCCUCCCUGUCAUGAGACAGCAUUGUUUGACCACUCAGGACCCCUCUAAAUUCCUUUGGGGAUACCUCCUGACUCAAGAUCAGCAAACAAGAAUCUGUGUUUUAUACAUGGCCCCGUCCCUGAGAGGCAUUGAUGAGACCACAUUAAGAACAAUAUGAGCCUCCUCAGGCUCCAUGUCCCCACUGUUAGGCAUCUCAGCUAAGGUCAUCCCUAUUGACCCCUGGGAACCUCCCCCAUCUCAAGUCUCUGGGACUUCCUAAAGAUUAACCCCACUCCCAACCCCUGGCAGCUGCAGAUUUCUAUUCAUUCUCCUGGUCCUCUGGGUCUCUCUCCUGUCCCCUGCCCCCAUUCCCUUCCCCUUCCAGUCUCCUACCCACUUCCCUCCCUCUCUCUGCCUCCUAUGAUUAUUCUGUUCCCCCUCCUAAGGUGAUUCAAGCAGCCUCCCUUGGG
ensembl:lncRNA LOC120093588 uncharacterized LOC120093588